AGCGAACGCUGGCGGCAGGCCUAAUACAUGCAAGUCGAGCGGGUGUAGCAAUACACCAGCGGCAGACGGGAGAGUAACACGUGGGAACGUGCCCUUCAGUUCGGAACAACCCAGGGAAACUUGGGCUAAUACCGGAUACGUCCGAAAGGAGAAAGAUUUAUCGCUGAAGGAUCGGCCCGCGUCUGAUUAGCUUGUUGGUGAGGUAACGGCUCACCAAGGCGACGAUCAGUAGCUGGUCUGAGAGGAUGAUCAGCCUCACUGGGACUGAGACACGGCCCAGACACCUACGGGUGGCUG
rnacentral:rRNA from 1 species